rnacentral:rRNA from 1 species
UACAGAGGUGGCAAGCGUUGUUCGGAAUUACUGGGCGUAAAGGGCGCGUAGGCGGCCUCCUAAGUCGGACGUGAAAGCCCCAGGCUUAACCUGGGAACUGCGUCCGAUACUGGGAGGCUUGGAUUCGGGAGAGGGAUGUGGAAUUCCAGGUGUAGCGGUGAAAUGCGUAGAUAUCUGGAGGAACACCGGUGGCGAAGGCGGCAUCCUGGACCGAGAUCGACGCUGAGGCGCGAAAGCUAGGGGAGCAAACGGG